GCAGGACCUGAGGCUGCUGCCACAAGCUCUCAUGUUCAUUGCUGUGGAAGCUGGCUUCCUGGAAACCCCAGAAGAAGCUGCCCAGGGGAGGGUGAACUAUCUCCAGAUCAGUAAGGUUUAUUUCCAAGUCCCCUUCCUCAUCACUCCUUUUUGGCUCAAGAGAAAAAUGAAAAGUGGUAAUUCUGUGACGUCAAGUCCCUCUUAAGUGCAGCACUGAAAAUAGCUUGGCUCAGAGAGCUCUGCUUGGAUCAUGUGUCCUAGGACUCAUCUCUAGGAUGAGACUGUGGCCUCCCCAGGUUGAGGUGGUACAUGUAUUGUGAGAGACGUAGCCUGGAGAACAGAGAAGAAGAGAGGCAAGGGGAGGAGAGAGCAGUGGUGUUUCCCUACAGGACCCUGGACCAUCUGACAAGACAGAGGAGGUGGGACUAGACUACCCACACUCCACUUGGCAGUGGGAACCAGGCUGGGAGCCUCCCACCCCCUCCUUAACUCUUCUCUCAGAUCUUGCAGCCUGAGUACUGAGCUUGCCCUGUGCCUUGUGGGGAAGGGAGUGAGAAGGCAGCAUAAGAGGUCUUGCCAGUUGAGACAGAAGCAGGUAGGUGCAGGAACUAUUUUGGAUAGGGCAUGUUGUUCAGUUGAUGGCAACUAAUUCUCUUAAGAACAUAUUGUCUCCUAUUAAUGUUGGGGACAAACCCAGAAAGGGAAGGGUAUAGAGAUGGGGAAUUGGUGAGAUCUUCCAGCCCUGAGACCAUGUCUGAGCCACCCCAAACUUAGGCUAUCUCCCAGCAUAGGAGUGAGACACUGCCCAGUUUACUCAAAUUCUAGUGUACGUGUUCCAGACACAUUGCACACACAGACAGAAAGUCUCCUGUUCCAGCCCCCUGCCUCCCUGCGUUGUCAGUCUGUUUCAGUUGUCUGAAAACAAAGGGGACACAGACCAGGGCUUUAACUGCAAGUGAACUGUGGCUUUUGUUCAAGAGUCCGUGUUGAGAGAGAUGGGCUAUGGGCUUUCAGAUAGAGGCCCUUCAGUCUUCUGUCCUUGUAAUUCUCUUGAAGGGUGCAUGAUAGAGGAGCCCCAGGCACUCGGGAGCCUCGCUGUGCUCUGGGGAGUUCAUGGGAUCUAAACUCUUUCGACACCAAACAACAGUACUACAUAGGUAUUUUGGUACAAACUGAAAGCACUAGAAAAAGUGCCUGUUGAAUGGUCCUCAAAGCACCAGAGAAACGAGGCCAGGUUCUCCCUCCUGGUUGUUCAGAUGCAGAAGCUGGACCCAGGAGGCAUACAGCCCAUCUCCAAGCUUCACUUAAAGCAAAGACUCAGAACAAGAGGCUCAGUCACAGGCUGCACGGCCUUGAACAUGCGCAGCGCUAUGCCUGGUGCUCUGUGGCCCAAUUUGUGAUACUUGUGUGCACACAGGGAAGCUGUCACACCUCUCAGGGCCUGAAAACAGGACUAAACCCAAGCCUCAUAUAACUAACCACACCGCCACCAUCCACAGGCGUGGAUGGAAGUCUUCAUGUUCUGUUAUAAGCACAACUACAAAGC
rnacentral:lncRNA from 1 species